CCAUUUCACCGAAGUUAAGCAUCAUUGGGCGCGGUCAGUACUUGGGUGGGUGACCACCUGGGAACACCGCGUGCCGUU
rnacentral:rRNA from 1 species